UACGUAGGGUGCAAGCGUUAAUCGGAAUUACUGGGCGUAAAGCGUGCGCAGGCGGUUUUGUAAGUCUGAUGUGAAAUCCCCGGGCUCAACCUGGGGAAUUGCAUUGGAGACUGCAAGGCUAGAAUCUGGCAGAGGGGGGUAGAAUUCCACGUGUAGCAGUGAAAUGCGUAGAGAUGUGGAGGAACACCGAUGGCGAAGGCAGCCCCCUGGGUCAAGAUUGACGCUCAUGCACGAAAGCGUGGGGAGCAA
rnacentral:rRNA from 1 species